rnacentral:rRNA from 1 species
UACGAAGGGGCUAGCGUUGUUCGGAAUUACUGGGCGUAAAGCGCACGUAGGCGGGUCGUUAAGUCAGGGUGAAAUCCCAGAGCUCAACUCUGGAACUGCCUUUGAUACUGGCGACCUAGAGUCCGGAAGAGGUUAGUGGAAUUCCCAGUGUAGGAGGUGAAAUUCGUAGAUAUUGGGAAGAACACCAGUGGCGAAGGCGGCUAAACUGG